rnacentral:rRNA from 1 species
CCCAACACAUGCAAGUGCGAACGAUGAACCAUCCCGGCGGGGACCAGGGGCGAACGGGUGAGUAACACGUGGGCAAUCUGCCCUGCACUCUGGGACAAGCCCUGGAAACGGGGUCUAAUACCGGAUAUGAGCCGGAACCGCAUGGUUCUGGUUGUAAAGCUCCGGCGGUGCAGGAUGAGCCCGCGGCCUAUCAGCUUGUUGGUGAGGUAACGGCUCACCAAGGCGACGACGGGUAGCCGGCCUGAGAGGGCGACCGGCCACACUGGGACUGAGACACGGCCCAGACCCCGACGGGAGGCAGCAGUGGGGAAUAUUGCACAAUGGGCGCAAGCCUGAUGCAACGACGCCGCGUGAGGGAUGACGGCCUUCGGGUAGAAACCUCUUUAGCAGCGAAGAAGCGCA